rnacentral:tRNA from 1 species
GCCCGUGUAGUCUAGCGGCCAAGGACGCUGGCCUUUCGCGCCAGAAACCCGGGUUCGAGUCCCGGCACGGGCA